AAUAUUGGACAAUGGGCGAAAGCCUGAUCCAGCCAUGCCGCGUGUGUGAAGAAGGUCUUCGGAUUGUAAAGCACUUUAAGUUGGGAGGAAGGGUUGUAGGUUAAUACCCUGCAAUUUUGACGUUACCAACAUAAUAUGCACCGGCUAACUUCGUGCGAGCACGCGCGGUAAUACGAAGGGUGCAAGCGUUAAUCGGAAUUACUGGGCGUAAAGAGAGAGUAGGUGGUUCGUUCAUUUGGAAGUGAAAGCCCCGGGCUUAACCUGGGAAUUGCUUUCAAAACUGACGAGCUAGAGUACGGUAGAGGGUAGUGGAAGUUCCUGUGUAGCGGUGAAAUGCGUAGAUAUAGGAAGGAACAUCAGUGGCGAAGGCGACUACCUGGACUGAUACUGACACUGAGGUGCGAAAGCGUGGGGAGCAAACAGG
rnacentral:rRNA from 1 species